UACGGAGGGAGCUAGCGUUGUUCGGAAUUACUGGGCGUAAAGCGCACGUAGGCGGCUUUUUAAGUCAGGGGUGAAAUCCCGGGGCUCAACCCCGGAACUGCCCUUGAGACUGGAGAGCUAGAAUCUUGGAGAGGCGAGUGGAAUUCCGAGUGUAGAGGUGAAAUUCGUAGAUAUUCGGAAGAACACCAGUGGCGAAGGCGACUCGCUGGACAAGUAUUGACGCUGAGGUGCGAAAGCGUGGGGAGCAAACAGG
rnacentral:rRNA from 1 species